AUUCUAUCUAUUCUCUUUUUGUUAUUAUAAUCUGCUCUGCCAAACUCUCUUGUUUAAUUCAUAAUUAUAACAUCUUUAUAUUCAUUGACUAUGCAGUGCGCAAUAAACUAUAGCCAAACCUUGUGAGCAACGUGCAGCUCAAACUUAAACACCACUGGACAUCUCCUCUGUGAUUCCCAGCAGUGGACCAGCAAGCGAAGGUCACAGUAGGGCUCGUUGGCUGUCAGGGGAGCUUGAUGCCAAGCUGUGUAGAUAUUCAUCUAACAUUAGCAUCUUUUUGCUUGGCAGGCUCCAAAGGCGGUUCAGCUGACAACUCUGAAUUUGCCUCUGGGUCUGUCACAAGAUCAUAUAACUGUGGGACUUCUGGGAAUGCCUAAUGCUUCUUUGAUGAAGAUCAUGCACAUCGUAAUAUAUUAGAGCCUUUCUCAGCAUCCUUUGAAAUCAGCAUUUGUGACCUCUCAGAAUUAUCCAGGUACUAUGCUUGGCUUAAGUGGCGUUUAAACCACAGCCAAACUUGAACAUCACACUAUCAGUCCCUUCAACAAGUUUAUGUAAUGACCCUAAUAACAGAAAAAUCACUUUUUUUUUUUUUUUUUUUUAAUGUUAACAUGGGUUGUUGCUACUGGUAACAUCAAAGGCUGCUCCUAGGCUGGCCUCAAAAUGAAUACAACAACCGUUAAACCAUGUACAUCAAACCAUAGUGGAAAGAAUUAAUGUUAACCUUUUGUUAGUGGCUUUCACUAUGGUCUAAAAGCUCAUCCCAUAAUACUGUUCAUGAAAGACUAAAGUCCUUGUGUAUAUAGGAAUGCAGCACAAUAAAUGUGAUGAAAGAUGGGAUUACUCAUGCUUAAAAUGAAGGCAUGCUAAACCACUCUUGCAUAUCAGGAACUAGAGGCACUCCUAGCCCUAAAAGACUGAGUUCUAGAGAGUCAGAGUGUGCAAAGAAGAAUAAAUUUGAUAACAAGUUGAAGUGCAUCUUAUUUCUAGUAAUUACUGCAAUUAUUCUCUUAAAAAAAAUCACUUAAAGAACAGAAGAUAAUGAGUCAAUGUACUUCACCUCAAUCUGUGCCUGAUAAAGAAACUUCAAACACUGUUAACAGCCUCAGGAAACAAACAUCCCCGUUUUGCAAUAUUCCCAAAGGAUACCAAUUACAUAACAAGACUGGAUCAGCGUAUAUUACAAAUGCUAUGGACAGCAUCUAAAAAAGCAACUGAACCGUUUGCUUGUCAAGCAAUUUCAGAUUCUUUUUCUACUCUGAGAAAUGUGACAACAUUCAAGUACCUCAGUAUAUUUCCUAAAACAGUCCUUAAAACUUCUUCCAGUCUAAUAACACAAUAAUGCAAGUAGGAACUCAGCCUGCUUCCACUGCAUUCACAGAUGGGAACCUCCAAGCUCCAAACCGUGUUUUAAGACUAAGAGCUACCAUUCUUUCUGCAUCAAAUAGUUAAAUGCAAAAUACAGCUUCUGCUAGCAUACAGGUAAAACUCAAAAGUUGAGUAAAAAACAGCCUGAAAAGCCAACCUUAGCAGGUCAGACUUGUGUCUCCCAAACAGAGACAGAGCAGUUUUCUUAGAAGCCUCCCCGGAUCAGAGGGCUUCAAAGCAUACUGUGACAGCUCACCAAUCUGCAGGCACCUUUCCCAUGGCCACACAACCUGGGGCUGCAUCAUUGGAGAGCUGCUAAUGUUCAGCCCAUACAGAUAGUAUUUAGACUUCUAAGCCCUCAAUAGAUGUGCAGGGCUCCCCCCGCCCCCAUACCCUUGAAGAUGUGCCUUGCAAUCAUCACUGGUUGUUAAAACAGGCCGCAGUAAUUACUGCUGUGCUCUCAAAGCCAAGCGAGUUCUGCGGCACGAGGCCAACCAAAGGCUCAGCUCUAUUUUAAUCCCACUAUAAUUAUAAACGAUAGAUGUGCAGUUGAGAUGCUACUUUUGAAUUUUUGUUUGCAUGAGGGUGUAUUUAUGCCCUGCAGAAGAGCACUGCAGAGAAAUAUUUGAGCUUGCAUUACCUGAACUGGCAUCAGUGCCGAGAUAACAACGUCAGCUCAGUUCUGAGCCUGCGACAGCACUGCUGGCAGGACACACCACUGCAUUCCAAGCUAAAUACAAAACAUACCUUUUCACCAUUCUCCAUUAAGCAAUGUUGACAUAUCUAUUAAACGCAGAAUGAAGAGAAAAGGUGUUGACAGGUUUCUCUGAGGCAAAGCACGCUUAUUAGGUGUUCAAAGGACUGUGAUAAGGAGAAAGUUGUCACCCAAGCUGGAACCAGGGAAUACAGGCUGGAAGAUUAGCCAAAGGAUGGCUGGGUAGAGAGAAGCACCAUGUCCCACAGGCUGGUGUGGACUUGCCACUGCCAUCAUGCCCUGUGCUGCAGUGAAGAGGGCAGCAGAGAGACCCAGACACGUUACUUGGGCUCAUUACAAUGGUAUUUUUAGUUCACAUUUUUAUCCCUAAAUGAUGCCAUAUUUAUAAGAAAAAAAAAAAAUCUUUUACCUUGGAAAGCAACUUUGGUUGGAAUAACACAAGCAGCUUCUACUUCAGUAGCUUCAUACACACUUGCAUAUUUAGUAGCAAAUUCGAGAUAGUUUUGCUCCUAUGUGUUUUCCACUAACUGGAGGGUCUAGUGCAAAGUAAUAUCAUACAAAUGAUACUAUAAGUACUUUGCAAUGGAACCACUAAGAAGUCUGGUAAGUAUUUACAUGACAUUCUCCAAAUAUAGCUACUGCAUGUUAUUUUCUUUCCAAGUAUGAAAGACUAUAAGGAGUACAAGAUGUGAAGAAAUGGAAAUAAAUCAUUAUUAAUGUGUUUCAAAGACAGAGAAUAAACAAAACAAUUUCCUCUGGAUUCUGUUAGUUGGAGAGAACAAAUCAUUCUCCUAAAUCUUAAAGCAGAGCCUCAUAUUCCAUGUCAGCUCAACAAAUUUGUCUGUUAACUGUUCACACAUGGUCUUGAUUGUCUUUAUCUACAAGUAAGAUGUGGACCUUUCACAACAGAGAAGUAUCUUUCAAACUUACAACCAAUGCAUAAUGACAAGUCUUGAAUGUUCUGAAUUAAUAUUCAGACAAGGGGUUAACCAUACGCAGGGGAGGAAUGCAAAUUUCAUCAAUAAAAUACAAUGCAAACCAUAGAGUACAUGAAAUAUCCCGAGUUGGAAAGGACCCGCAGGGCUCACUGAGUCCAACUCCAGGCUGCAAACAGGACCACCCAAAGAUUAGAUCAAUACAGUGCAAUAACAAUAAAAUUUAAAUGAUAUUAAAUAAUAAGAGGAUACAAGCUCGUAUCAGAAAGGGGACUUUAUUUAAGUCCUCCAUGCAUAAAAUAGAUGCCUAAAGAAAGUAGUUAAGGUCUUCAAAUUCUUUGCAAUGGGAAAUACAGGGACACUACUUUGGACUAAUUGAACCUACCAAAGAUGUACAAAUUUGGAGAGAAAAUCUGGUCCUCAAGAUACAACAAGAUAACUUGGGAUGACCCAUCAGCUUCACUAGCACAGGGAAGCAAAAGCAAGCAGAAAAUCUUUCUUUUCUAACGCUUUUGCACAGACUUAAGAGCACUCAACCUAAAAAAUGUUAUGGAAAAUCACCUGCCAUCAAGAAAUUACUAACUCUUUUUUUCCAGAAAAAAACAGACAAAUGAAAAUUAUUAUCAUAAAGACCCUAUUGUGAAUGAAUGCAUUUAUUUGUUGCACCUGAAGUUUUUCCUGCUAGUGCAAGUUGAAGAGCCCUUCAAAAGAUAUCAGAGUAUAUGUAUGUAUAUUGACAGAGUACAACUGUCCAAUUGUAGCUAAGAGCAAACCAAUAGCUUCAAAAAUUCAGCAUCAACCAUACAGGCCUACUGUCAUCAAUAUUUUAUGAUUUAUUAGCCAGAAAUAAUAAAGUAAUAAAGGAAAGCAACCAGAAAACUAUACAUAGCUAAGAGAAACCGCCUUGUACUCAUUAGAAACAACGUGCAGUUUGAUGACACUUUACAGACUUCAAUUACCAUACUCUGCAGGAAGGAGCUUUCAAACAUCUGUACGAUGAUUAUUUUCCACUGGGAUGUCAUUUACAGUGCAAAGUAUUGAAAAUAGGGCCAAAAAAUCAAUUAUAAUCUGUCUAAAUGAGCACAUUCUUGAUCUAAGGGAUUUGAACUUCUGUGUGGAAAUUGGCUUUAAAAGAGAGACAGAAACUCAUUUGAUUCUGUGUGUGACAACAGCAACAAAAAAAAAGGGUAGAAAAACUUCUCAUAUCUGAUUUGCACAAAAUUUAACCUAGGGAGCAUUAAAAUCAUGUUGUUGGUUUUUUAUAUAAUAUACAAGAACAGAAGAGUUAUAUUAGAAGCCAGGCCUAACGAAGCAGUGACUGACCACAAGCUUUCCUUAUUGAAGUUUUAAUGUUAGUAUCCAGAAUUACUUUUCAUUGACCAGUACUAAUAGAAUGAGUAAAGAUAUGCACAUACUAGGCAGGAGUACAAAAUCAGACAUCUUGUUUCUAAAUCGUUCUAGACAAGUAUUUUCACAUUUGCACAGAAAAAAGAAAUAUUAAUAUGCAAAAGUAACAGGGACAGAAAAAAAGCAUGCAGUAGGCAAUGAGAAUUCAUUUCAGUUGGUCAGUAUUUAACGUAUUAGCACAGAGGACUAAGGAUUUUACCCUGUAAAUAAGGGAAACUGGUAUAAUGUGGAAAAUCAAAUUGCUAGAGAAAAUACAAAUGUAAAAAAAAAAAAUCAAACAAAUUAUCAUUUUUUAAUUUCAAAAAAGAAGGCUUUUAUGAAUGUCUAGAAGGUUUUCUCAUCUACUGAUUUUCAGACGACAGGCCUGUUAUACAGGAUAUGCUUGGGAGGUACACAAGAGCAAUGCCGAGUUUUUUAAAAGCAAAUAGGCAGAAUAGUAAUGGUCAGCCAUGGAAAUCAGCCAGCAAACAUGCCAGGCAUUGAAUCAAGAUCCCUAAUCAUGGUAGCAAAUACAACAGCAUUAGUCAGACUGCUCACUGCCAGUAUGACCAUGAGUAUUUUGCCAAGCCAGUCAGAUACACGUUUUCUUCUUGGAACCAAAACUUACUUGCCUUUCUAAUGACAGAAUAAAGAACUACCAACAUACUGUUGUGCUUUUAACUUUAUUUUAAAAUGCAAGCAAAUGUGGACUGCAGAAUCUUGCUUGCUGAGUCAAGUGAAAAGCAUACUACUUCUAUGUUCUAGAGACUGCCUCCUGGUAAUUAAGGAGGCACCAACCUAAAUGUUGGCUUUGACCUUUACCGCCCUGAGCAAGCUGAAAAUCCAGCUGAGAGAUCAUGCUUUCUGUGCACUUUCCCCCCUUCCUUCUCCCUCCUCGCCUUUCUAGUGAUGAUUAGAGAGAAACUGACACUUCCCCUCUGACAUUCUGCCAUGUGGUCAGACAGGACCAGGACGUAUUAAAAUUCCCAUUCAAACUUCACAGCCCAUUUCUCCUGUUGGGUACCUGCAGAGAAGACUAAGAGGACAUCCCAGAAAAAUUAUUUUAUGAAGCUAGUACUCAGUUUUGAAGCAGGCUACUAUCCACAUGGCCAAUUCUGAAAUGACAGUGUGGUUAGGAAAUGGAAAGCCGUCCAGAACAAAGGGUGAGACCUCCACCAUCUUUGCUUAAUCAAAGGUGGAGAAUUCUUUCAUAAUCCCUGGCCUCUUCAUUGCUACGAAUCAUCACAGCUGCCACCGGUGUUCUGGAAAAGGGAACUGAACAAUGUAUGUACUACCAUGUACUCCACAGCAUUAAAAUAAAAGUCUGAAUUUCACAUAAAGUUCGACAUAACGGGACUAAUGCAGGCUGUCUGGAGGUGAAUUUCAGCAGCACAGCAGUCUUGCAUGCUAUUUUGAGCAGUAGCAACUACUUAAAUAAGUAGAACCAGCAAGUGGCCACAUUCCCUAUUGUUGGAAAUAGCAAAGCUGGAACACCUCUAACAGGCUACCUAGGGAUUACCUCAACUAAAUACAGCUUUGUUAUCAGGAAGGAAAAGGAUUUUUUUCAGCCUGACAGCAUCAUAAAAACUUUCAUUCAUGUUGAAUGACACAUGAGCAGAUUGGUGUUUAUAAUUUUCUGCUGGUUAAAGACCCAUUCUUGUUCCCAUUGAAGUAAAUGAGGCAAAACUGCCAUUGAUUUCAGUCAGAUUACCAGCAGACCUCACACACGCUAACCAUCAGCACUUACUAAUAUGGAAUUAUCAGCAUAAAACAUAUUGACUACUUGAUCUAAAUACUUCAUUCUCAUUCAUCAAAACACUUCGUACAAACGAACAAAGACAGAAAACUAAGCCCAGACCAAAGGUCAUGCUGAACUUAUAAAUCGCAGUGACUGCCGACACCCAUCACUGCCACAGCAUAAAGUGUAUCGCACCCGAUCCAACCAGGAGACAUAAACCAGGCAGAAAGCACACAGCAACCCCCCUCUGUUGCCCAGCACUUCCAAUUCUGCAUCAGCCAGCAACGUCCUCCGCCCUUCCACAAAUAAAACAUGAAAAAUUCAUAAAAAUCAAUUCACACAACUGGCUGUUUAAUUGCAGAAUGCCUUUAAAAAUAAUAGCCAGGAUGAACUUGAGACUAUAAACAACACAACACUAGCAAAAAGCUCUUAAACUCCAUUAGCAUUCUUUUUAACUUAAAAGAAAUAAUUAACGUACUAUAAAGAAGGAAGAGAGUGGCAAAAAUUCUGAAUUUAAUUAUGUGAAUGGUAUUCUAUAUACAUUUAAUUGCAAAGCAGUAACACAACCACUUUCAUUACUCUUUAUAGCCUCAGAUAGCCAUUAGCACAAUCCCCAAGGUUUCUUGUGAAUAAUUAGAUUAGGAAAGGGGGACUCUGAAGAAACGCAAUAGGACGUAGUACUUAUGAAACAGCACAACCUGAAUCCAGAUGCUGACAUGACAACAUCAUGAAGAGCUAAUUUGCACAUCUAAAUUAAUACCAUCAUGAUGAUAAUAUAGAAGAAAGAUAGGCAUAUAAAGUGAGCUACAGAAAAUAAUGUCAAAAAGAAACGAGGUACUUGUAUUACAAAAAUACAUCUUUUUGACAUUUUCACCCAGUUGCAAAGGCGUGAAUACUUUAAGUGCCACACUCAUGAAUAUAGCCUUAUAUAAGCUGACUUACUAGGAUUUACUCCACUACUGGGCAACACAUGGGCAAGCUGUUUAUUAAAUAGUUAAAUCCAUCAAACAUGUGCAGCAUUCACAUAAACAGGUAAAUAAAUUUCAUUACAGUUCAUUACACAUCUGUUUCCCUUUGAUGCACUUAAUGUUUUCAUAUUGUUUGGUGCUUCUUAUACAUGUAUCAUCAAAAAAAUCAGCUGUGAUACAUAUAUUUUUGAAGAGUAUCUACUUGGGACACAGAAGAUACAAAUUAAUAAGAUUUUAGAAGUAUUUUGAACUGAGAGAGAUAUUCCUGCAGCUCUCACAAUUGGCCUGUCUGCAUAUCUACACAUCUGAAUAGUUAAGAAAUCUCCUCAAAUCCAUUCAACAGAAACCAAUGGUAUCUUGAUAGAAAAGGAAAUUGUCUUCGUCCACUUCCGUGGUUCUCUUUCAUGUGAAGUUUAAAACACAAACAAAUGCAUACAAGGCAGGAUCUACCAUUUGCUACUCAAAAAUAUCAACACUGUCCCUUUGCUCUCCGCAUUUUGCAGCAUGAAACAUAAAUUUAUCCUGUUUUCAGGAUCCUCUGCAUUUGAGAAUACACCUUGUCAAAGAACAGCACAUUCAUCUAAAGGACUCUCAACCUUAAAAUGAUUUGAAUUCAUGUCAAGCUGAUCCCUUUAGAAUAAUGAAACAUUACACACAAACUCUGAAGAAAUGAUAAUACUGCUACAAGAGGCACAGCAAAAUCAGAAGGAUGAGAGUGAACCAGCAAGAGCCUUAAUACUGGAGGCAAAACAUUGAAGAGGACAAAACCACAACUUGUGCAAAUGAAAUCAUCUGCAAUCUUCUCACGGCACAAGAGUCGUCAUUACAUGAAAAAAAAAAAUCAUAUUUGAAGCUAAUGAUAACAAGGUUCAAUACAUUAAGUACUUAACCCAGGAAGAAUCAGCAGCACAACACCGACAGAAGGAGGCCAAGAGAUUCACGUGAGAUGCACGCAUUUAUGCACUUAUCCACCACUGCACUAAUUAUCACUGGAGUUUUAUGAACUGAGACAGUUUCAGAAUAGCAAACUUCUCAACUGUGUAUUUCUGAAGUCAAGAUGAAACAUGCUGUUUUUGUACACAGCAUUACACAUACUACUUCAGCAACAUGAUUUACAUGGGUGAUUAUUCAUUCUAAAAAACAUUUCCUUUUAAAAGAAGAUUGUAACUUCUUCCCUACUGCAUUCUAUCAUUCUUGGUUUAGUGAGGUUGCUCCAACACUGUUUAAAUUGCUAGGAGUUCCUUCCAGGGACUUCAAGGGAAACAAAUCAUGACCACAGUCUAUGAGUAGAAUAUGUUAGCAAAACCGAAAAUCAAAUAACCAGCAAGACACAUAGGCAGCAUGCAGUGAGGAAACACACGUGAGGAAUAAGUAGAAGAUUUAAAGCAAUAUGAAUGCAUUUUCAUGAGCUUUCACUACUGCAAUCCUCAUGCUUCCUGUACUUAUCUGCCUUUUUUCUCACCUCUUGCUGUGCUCUGUCUAAGUAGUGAAAUUCUGGUGGCAUGUUCAUUUUAAUCACCUAUAAGGCACCACACGCUCUUGUGGCACUGAUAUGAAUAAAUAACACAAGGCCUUUUAUUUUGAUAAGACACAGCUAACUCCCUUAGUAGUAUGGUAUGCUGUACUGAUCCAAGCAGAAGACAGCUUCAAUCAGUGUAGCCCAUUAUUCCAAAGGCCAAAAAUUCAAAUAUAUAUAUGUAUAUGUAUUUUUUUAAUAUAAAGCUCCUAUGUGUCACUGUGCAGCUAAUAGUCUUCCCAGCAUGAGCACACAAGUCUACAGAACACUAUGCCUAAACCCCAAGCUGUCACGCUAGAUGUUUUCCUCUGCAUAGUGUGCAAUCUGCAAUCUGUUCUCUGUAGCAGCAUCAAGACCUGCUUCUGCACUGGGUGCAAAUGGAUGGUAUUUGCAUUCCCUCAUUCCCUCAUCUGCUUUCCUGUAAUUCUUCAUUACGUGCUCAAAGACUGGGAGUUCUGCUCCAAAACAUUCUACUCCUGGAAUGAUGAUUCGAUGGUUUUCUCAAGUACUGUUCUGAAGUUCCUUCAGCCUAUGUCUGUGUAACAUUCUGCACGCCGAAGAGCUGACUUAAAUACACACAUAAUUUCAAACGUUUUAUUGCCAACUUUCCUCUGGAAUGGCUUUUAUAUGAAAUGUAUUGUGUAAAACUAAAACUCACCAAGAAUCAGCAUCAUAGAACCCUUCAGUGACAGAGGCUGCCCAUAGAGGUGGUGGAUGCCUCAACCUUAGAGACACAAAAUGUCAGGUUGGAUGGGGCUCUGAGCACCUUGAUGGAACCAUAGAUGUCCCUGGUCAUUGCAGGGGAGUCGGAGUUGGAGUAGACAACCUGAUGGUCCCUUCCAACUCAAGUGAUGCUAUGAUUACUAAGGUUGGAAAAGGCCACAGUGAUCAUCUAGUCCAAUCCUAUCUGCAGUCAUUCAAAAAUCCAGAAAGCACAGAUAGCAACUUAGGGUAUCAUCUUGACAUGAGAAAACAUAGGCAGGAGGAUUCUGUGAAAUGUUUUACUUUUACUUGAUUAGAUACCAAAAAGAAAUACUAGAUAAAAUGCAUAAACCCUAAACUCUCCUGUACUUUCAGACUACUGCUUGAGUCUGCUGGCCACAUGGCAGAAGAUAACCCUUGGCAGAGCUGGGACACCCCAUGGCAUGGAUCUAAAUUUUAAACAAACCUCUUAAAGAUAUUUAAAGGUAUUAAUAGAACAGCAGGAGGUUGAUUUUAUUGCUACUUCUGUUACAUUCCAGCUGUAUUCACUGGCAUCAGUCUAGAAACUUCACAAAGGAUUUAUGCUGGUUUUUUUUUUAACAUAAAGAAAUAAUUUACAGAUGAGCUCUGCAAUAAAGGUCAUUGUUCAUUCCCCCUCACUAGGCCUUUUAUUACCCUCAUUAAUACUGCUUUCUGUCUGCAGACUUGAAUCUUCAACUGCUUUCUCAUCUUUAACUUCUCCCACCUGAAUACACCCAUGGGACUUAUCUGAAGGGCAAUGCUAAGUAUGCGCACAUAACUUUACAGGAUUUUUGUGCAUGCAUCUGGUCUGAUUCUGUGAUAACAACUGAAUCUUUUACUGUCCUUCUCUGGAAAUCAACUAAGCAUACAUCAAGAGAGAUGCAAAUUUGCCUCAAUUGGCAACAACACUUCAGUCUAAGAGCAUUCUUUGGCACUGUAAGCUGUUAUUAAAAGAAAGCCUUGGGAAUCUAUAUAGUUGAAUUCUUACUGAAGCAUUCAUGUCUCUGCACGAGGUACUAUAGUUGCCCAAAUUUCAUAGUCAUUAAAGAGAGAUAUAUCUAAAAUUCUACAAUUUCAGGUUAUUGUUACAUCUUGACUUGAUAAAAAUGCAUGAAUUUUACAUUAAAAACCAACCAACCAACCAACAAACAAACAAACAAUAAAAAAAAAACAAACCUAGCAGAGGGAUAAGGAUAAUUGCCUUGUCUGUUUAAAGCAAAGAAGUGUACAAGAACAAUAUUUCACAAGACUGCAGCUAGGUCUGGAAUUUGAGAAAAAAAGAAAUGUGUCAGCUGAUGAAUCACAAGCCUAAUUACAUCUGGGAUAAGACUUUUUAGAACCCAAAGGAAAAAUGAUUUGCUGGAUGUCAGCAUGCUCAGAUGCCCACCAGUGAGCAGUACCUCCUCUAACCCAAGGUUUCAGUGAAGACAACAUACAUGUCAACCACAGUAGAAGAAACACAAACUAAUGAAAAUGUGUGUAAGCUGUAAUUACACUGUCUCAGUGAAUGGCACUUGGGGUAUUGUGAACAGAUUGUACAAGUUAAUUCACACAGGGCUUAAUGAAGCAUUCCCUGUUCUACAAACUUCACCACUUGAUUUAAUUAACCUUCAUACCUAUACACGCACUACCCACCAAUCAUAAGUGUUGGAAAACCCUUAAACUGCAAUGCUUUGGAGCUACACUUCACAGAGAAACAAACGCUCGGUUUUAUUCACUCUGUUGUCUCAAGAGCAAAUUAUAAGACUCUUAGAUGGCAAAUUUGGCCUUAUGUCAGCUAUACCAAAUAUAAGAUCUAAUUUCUUAAAAAUAAAAAUUAAAAAAAAAAUUGCAACAAAUCAGAAUCAAUUUAUUCACAAAAAUCAAAGUUUCCCUGAUGUACCAGAAGAGCGUUAACCAUGAAAAUAAUUUGGGAAACUCUACCAGGAUAUUAAAACAUGAGAGCAUGCAGAACAAAAUAGACAGCAGUCACAUCUCAGUUCUGCAGGCAAAGCUUUGUACAACACAAAUGGUGCUCUCCUGCUGACUUCAAAGAGUGAAACAAGCACCAGACACAGCCACUCAUAUGUCAUUUCUUCCUAUAUGAGUAAAAAUUCCUGCUCAGGCUCUCCAGAACUCAAGGGCAGGUAUCCAGUGAAAAAGUGAAAAAGCUGCCCUGUCUGUUCUCCUUUGAGUGGGAACAAAGUGAAGCAGGGAAACAGCGAAGCCUCAUUUCACCAUUUUCUGCUAAUGAAGGCAGCAGAAACUGCUGCCCCUGCACCAUGAGAGAACAAUGGCAGAGGAGCAGACAGAGCUGCUCUCGGCAGGCAGAGCUCUGCUCAAUUUACAUUGCAGAGCUUUAAAAAUUGUGUAUACAACAAAACAGAAGUAACAUACUUUUUCACCUCCCCUCUUUGAUUAAAAUUUAUGUAAUGCAUUUAACAUUUUACUUCAUUGAAAAAAAAACUACCAAGUUGAAAUUACUUAAUGCACAAAUUAGAAAAACAUUCAAUAUUGGCUUAGAGAACUUAUGUGGCAUUGGAGAAACGUUACUAAAUCUUUCACAACAGCGAAGAGUGAGGGAAAAGCUAUAGAGAUAAUUUAUGUGAAUCUCCAAAGUCAUUUCAGUAGCAUCUCUCAUAAAAAAUUAAUCUGCAAAAGUUAGCAAGCAUGACACAGAGAAGGGGAACCAGCGGACUGGAGAGAAGUUGGCUGAGGGAUAAAAGGGAAAGUUUGCCAGCCAUGGGAGAUGAGGAGUCUAUUUGCAUUUUAAAAUUGAAUCGGCAUUUUUUGGUCCAGUCCCGAGGACUUGCAUUACAAGCAAAGAGAAGCAGAAAGAUCUGCUUACACGCCUACACAGCAACAUGGAUUAUUACUUGAAACAGAACAAAAUCAAAACCACAUACAAUACAACACAAAAAAGAAUCCAUAUAAAGCAACUGCAUUUAUGGUUACAUUCUGUCACCCCAGACAAGAGACUUGGAGGAGGGGGCAGGAAACUGUAAUAGAGGCUAUAAAACAGGAUUUUGAAUUAAACGAGAAUUCAGUCAACCCUGACAACUUAAACAGAAGGUACCAAAUCUGUCUUUUUACUUCAGUGGUGCUAUGCUAUUCAGUUCGCAACAGAAUCCCAACCGAUGUCAAUGUCAUUUUGGCAAAAAGGAUAAUAAUAAUUCUGUUUAUAAUAUCUCCCUUCAAGGCACCAUGUGAGAUCACUCAAGCAAAUUAAAACACACCAUGAAAAUAUUUAAAGCAUUAUAAACCUGUAUUUACUAUUUCUCACUCCCGUCGGAAAUUUGCAGUCAAUGCAAAGCAUUUUGUUUCACACAAUUUAUUGAUGGAACCAAAUGAGCACAUGUUUUGUGCCACAAUAUAAAGAGAGGAGUAGCUAAUCACACUCGUCGGCCUCCCUGAACUGAUGCUAAUUGCUCAAGGGCCAGCUUUCAUCUUAGAUAUUCACUCAGCUCUUGGGCCGUGGCAGCCUGGUGGUCACUUAAAUCUCAGCGUAACAGAUACUAGAAAAAAUACUGUGAUGCCAGAAAGUGACAUACUGCCAAGAGAUCAGGGACACAGAGCACAAAGAUGACAGUGCCGCUGCUGUGGACUAUUAUUGGGAGUGUUUGGUAGGAAUAUGGUUCAAGCGUAGUGCUGUGGAAUCGCUUACUGAUAGUGUUACAGAUCUUAUUAAAUUAUUAAACCUAGAUUUCAACCCCUACUUGUUUUGUACAACAAUCACAGGUGAUACAAACAACAGGUAUUUUGUUUUCCUGGCACUCUAAAAAUCAGGGUCACUGAGUCCUCCAUUUGCUUGUGCACCACAAAAACAGACCUCAGUCUGAAACAGCCAAAUCUGUACCAUAUUCUGUAUAUGGCUACAGUGUUCAAUGGACUGGAGACAUUCUUAUUCUGGUGUGCAAUUUUACAAGACAGUAGAGAGCAAAAUAAAGUAAUAGACUUAGAAAACCUAUUCAUAGUGCAUAUGUCCCAAGGAGACAUGGCUAAUAACUAAUUCAUUUCACAUCGCACAUUUGAAUGCAAUAUGAAAACUUCCCAGUUCCUUAUCUGCACAGGAGAAAAGACCCCACUGUGGCUUUCUUUAAAAUAAUUAAGGAUUCUUUACCAAAAUAUUUUAAUCAAACUAAGUGUCUACAGAAGUCUUUUCUUUCCAUGCCUCCUAUCUGCUUCCUGAAGAGGUCCAUGACUAUUAAAGUUUAGAUAAAAUUGUUUCACAACAGCAGUUUGCCAAGCUAUUAAAUAUGGUGCUCAUUUUCCUAGAUAAUACGUUUGUUUAUCAUGCAGUUUUCUCCAAGCUGGAUUAAAAUCCAAUAUAUUAUUAGUUGUAUCAACAGGAAACAGCUAAAUAAUCCAGUGAGCAACACAACUGUGCUAUCUACAGCUGAAGAGGUUUUGAUUUAGCUUUCUGUUGUAGAGAAACAGAUCAGCUAAGUAUUAUCCAGUGGACUAGAUAGCUGAAUACUUUAUUACAAAUGAUUAAGAAUUAAACAAUUGAUAAGAAAGAAAGAUAGGGAUAUAUAUAGUGCCUAAAAACAUCAUUUGAGCUUCCCCUGCACUGCAACUGUAGCAACUGCAAAGCAGGAAACAGAUGCAAUGCUCAGUGCAGUGAUAGCCUUCUAACUACUCCACAAUUUUUCUUCUUCUGUUCCUCCAUACUCUGAGUGUUUUAACAGCUUGACUUCGGUGUGACCACCCCAAGAACUGUAUGGUUUCAGCAAAUAUUGGUGGCAAAGCUGUAGCACAAAUUAGUCUGCAGAAGAUGCUGCAAGGAGACCCACCUUGUGCUCUAUGGAAGCGACCACUGUCAGGGGAAUGCACCCUGAUGUUCUGGGAAAAUAAGGGGCCUUGUGGACAGCAAUUACAAAUACAACCACUGCAGAGUGCCUAUGGCUCAAAGACACAGCAAACAAUGACCCACUAUUUAACCUGGGACUUGGGUUACUUUACAAUUAAAAGUAAAACCAUAUGAAGUUGUCCUGCCAGCAGUCCCACUGCCUACCUGCCUCUGCAGACAAGCUGAUAAACCACAGGAGUGGAGUGCACAGAUGGAGAGACUGCUCCCCCUCCCUGCUCACCAAACUUUUCUGUUUGUUGCAAGGACCCUUUUUCAGUAUUUUGCACCAGGGAUCACUGACGAAUGGUUCUACAUGGAGAAUAUGAGAACAUGAGAAUUAGGUGACUGCAGAGAGUGACUUUGCAAGGCAUCAGGAAUAUAGAUAAUAGCAAGAAAAAUUCAAAAGGAGUAGUAAAAUAGGAGUAGAUUUCUAGCACUAUUAGGUUCUUAUACCAACCCCAUCAAAGCAUAAAAGUAAAACUGAUCGGAUUUGUCCACCUACUAAUAGAAGAGAAAAAGGAGUAGGGGAAAAACAAAAACUUGAAAAUCUGAAUACUGUGCCAGUAGAGAGGAGGCCCAUGCAAGAUUUCCUUCUGAUAAGGUUCUGCUCCUUCAAAGCCUCUGGUGGAUCUACAAUGACACAUCAGAGAUGCAUCUGUCCUAGUACUGUGCCUCUGCAGGGAGCCAGCCACAUACAAGGAGUCUUGCUCAAUAAGCUAUUUGUGCUUUGUCUUCAUUUCCCUCAUUCAUCAUAGGAAUUUAUUCAAGGUUAAUGAAUUAGUCCAAGCUUUGUUAUACAUAUUUAAGGGCUUCUCAAAACAGCAACCUACAUUUCAGAAAUGGUUGCAAAUUUUUUAUGUAAUAAUAUAUAUAAAAUAACCACACUUUAGUUAGUCCUGCAGCCAUACCCUAACAAGAAAUCUUCCUGACUACCAGACUUGAUAAUCAUAAUUCCAUCUAACAGGGCUUCCAGUAAGACUGUUUUAUUAUUCAGAGAAAGUCUAGAUUGAAUUGAUUUACCUCAUUUCACCACAAAGUUGCAUUUCUGGAGAUAUCUCCAUAUGGAAAUCCUAAGAAGUCAAAGUCAAUUUUAUUUUGUAUUUUAUAGAUUUUAUAGACAUGCAUUUUUAAACGCUGACAAAAGUCAAUUUAGGAUACCUUCAAUUAAGCUCCAGCUAAAGAUUCUGUAAAAUGAGAUCAA